UACAGAGGUCUCGAGCGUUAGGCGGAAUCACUGGGCUUAAAGCGUGUGUAGGUGGAUGCCUAAGUACCUUGUGAAAUCCCACGGCUUAACCGUGGAACUGCUUGGUAUACUGGGUGUCUUGAGCCACUUAGGGGCUACCGGAACAAAUGGUGGAGCGGUGAAAUGCGUAGAUAUCAUUUGGAACGCCAAUGGUGAAAACAGGUAGCUGGGAGUGUGCUGACACUGAGACACGAAAGCCAGGGGAGCAAACGGG
rnacentral:rRNA from 1 species